rnacentral:siRNA from 1 species
CACUAAUUCCAGGGAUUCGUG